CUCAGAGGCUGACGCGGCGACCAAUCCUCGGAGACCCAGGAGGAAGUUGCCUCUUCGCUGCGGUUCUGCGAGGACGGAAGGCGCCAGGGAGCCGGUCCGCGUCCCUCACGCGUGAGAUCUGAGGAGAGCAUGCCACCUGACCGACCCAACGGCUCCUGCUCCUCAGUAGAGCCCGCAGCCUAGGGACUAGAGUUGUCACUUAAGUGGAUAUGAAGAAGGCGCAAAUAAGUACGGGGGCAGCCACGAGCUUUCUAAAGUGAUAUUUACAAAUAAGGCUACUACAGAUAUUGUAGAUGUGCAGAGGAGCAUGCAACGUGCAUUUCAUAUGACCCACAUCAGCCGCGGGGAGAGCUCUCCUUGUGGAAUCUCACCAUGCCUGAUGCUGUCCAGCAUCUCAGCUUCAUCUGACCUGGCAGUGGGUAGUGACCUGUCAUUGAUGUCUUGACUGUGUCCCUUGAUGUCUAAUUCCUGUUUAUUAUCUACCUGGAUUUAUUUGUGUGUGUGUGUAUGUGUGUCAGUUACUUUCCUAUUGAAUUGUCUUUUACAUACAGGUUUCUUACUAUUUUGGGUAGUAACUCCUACUACUUACUUAUGCUGCACAUAGCUACGUCUUAGCUUCUCAUUUGAAAAUAUCUGAUACUGAUUUUGAUAUAUGGAAAUUUUCAUUUGGGGCUAGUUCAACAUAUCAGUCUUUUUUCUUACAUACAUGCGAUUUUGUUUGUUUUACUUCAGAAUGUUCUUACUUUGAACUCAUUCUGAUAUUCUCUGUUCAUAGGCCUGUCUCAGGCCUCCAGGUAUUCAUUUUACUGUGAUGUGAUGGUGGUGGUUUGACAUGUAGUUGAACAAUUCUUGCUCCUCUUCCUCCCUUGUAAGUCUUUUUAUCCUUUGUAUAUUCAGGAGCCAACUGUCAAGUUCAAUACACGUGGAAUUUUAACUGAAAUAACAUUACAUUUCAAAUUUAAGA